rnacentral:rRNA from 1 species
ACCCCAAACCGACACAGGUGGUCAGGUAGAGAAUACCAAGGCGCUUGAGAGAACUCGGGUGAAGGAACUAGGCAAAAUGGUGCCGUAACUUCGGGAGAAGGCACGCUGAUAGGUAGGUGAAGUCCCUGCGGACGGAGCUGAAAUCAGUCGAAGAUACCAGCUGGCUGCAACUGUUUAUUAAAAACACAGCACUGUGCAAACACGAAAGUGGACGUAUACGGUG